GAUCCUGGCUCAGGACGAACGCUGGCGGCGUGCCUAACACAUGCAAGUCGAACGAAGCUCCCCGAUACAAGGCUUCGGCCAAGUUGAAGGGAUGACUUAGUGGCGGACGGGUGAGUAACGCGUGAGGAACCUGCCUUUCAGUGGGGGACAACAGUUGGAAACGACUGCUAAUACCGCAUAAUGUGCCUUGGGGGGCAUCCCUGGGGUACCAAAGCUUUAUGUGCUGAAAGAUGGCCUCGCGU
rnacentral:rRNA from 1 species